UCGAGGAUAUUUAGCAAUGCCCGAAAGGGUGACUAUGCGACGCCGCGUGUGCGAUGAAGGUCUUCGGAUCGUAAAGCACUGUCAGCAGGGAGGAAUCUCAUGGGCCUUAACAAGGCCUCGGGGUGACAGUACCUGCAGAGGAAGCCACGGCUAACUCCGUGCCAGCAGCCGCGGUAAUACGGAGGUGGCCGGCGUUACUCGGAUUGAUUGGGUGUAAAGGGUGUGUAGGUGGCGUACGAAGUCGAAUGUGAAAGCCCGUGGCUCAACCGCGGAAUUGCAUUCGAAACUGGUAUGCUUGAGCGAAUGAGAGGUAGAUGGAAUUCCCGGUGUAACAGUGAAAUGUGUAGAUAUCGGGAGGAACACCAGUGGCGAAGGCGAUCUACUGGCAGUCUGCUGACACUGAAACACGAGAGCUAGGGGAGCAAACA
rnacentral:rRNA from 1 species